rnacentral:rRNA from 1 species
ACGGAAGGCAGCAGCUAAGAAUAUUCCGCAAUGGGCGAAAGCCUGACGGAGCGACGCCGCGUGGAUGAUGAAGGCCGGAAGGUUGUAAAAUCCUUUUAUUACAGAGGAAUAAGUACUGCAGGGAAAGCCCAUGCGAUGACUGUAGGCCAUGAAUAAGCACCGGCUAAUUACGUGCCAGCAGCCGCGGUAACACGUAAGGUGCGAGCGUUGUUCGGAAUCAUUGGGCGUAAAGGGCAUGUAGGCGGUCUGUCAAGCCAGGCGUGAAAGCCAGGGGCUCAACCCCUGAACUGCGCUUGGAACUGGCGGACUGGAGUCGCUGAGGGGGAACCGGAAUUCCUGGUGUAGGGGUGAAAUCUGUAGAUAUCAGGAAGAACACCGAUGGCGAAGGCAGGUUUCCAGCAGACGACUGACGCUGAGGUGCGAAGGUGCGGGGAGCAAACAGGAUUAGAUACCCUGGUA